GUUGGUUGAAAAUCACCCCCCGGCUUUGGCCGUGGCCGCGGGUGAGAUUCGACGCCCAGAGCCUCCGGGGGCCUCAGCUCACCGCGCGCUGCUCCAUGUGCGGCGGUGAAACCCAGGCCCCGACAGGC
ensembl:snoRNA